UCUAGGUGGAGUGAAGUGUUCUGUAUCUCUAGGUGGAGUGAAGUGUUCUGUAUCUCUAGGUAGAGUGAAGUGUUCUGUAUCUCUAGGUAGAGUGAAGUGUUCUGUAUCUCUAGGUAGAGUGAAGUGUUCUGUAUCUCUAGGUGGAGUGAAGUGUUCUGUAUCUCUAGGUGGAGUGAAGUGUUCUGUAUCUCUAGGUAGAGUGAAGUGUUCUGUAUCUCUAGGUAGAGUGAAGUGUUCUGUAUCUCUAGGUAGAGUGAAGUGUUCUGUAUCUCUAGGUAGAGUGAAGUGUUCUGUAUCUCUAGGUGGAGUGAAGUGUUCUGUAUCUCUAGGUGGAGUGAAGUGUUCUGUAUCUCUAGGUAGAGUGAAGUGUUCUGUAUCUCUAGGUAGAGUGAAGUGUUCUGUAUCUCUAGGUAGAGUGAAGUGUCCUAUAUCUCUAGGUGGAGUGAAGUGUCCUGUGUGUGACUGUCCUGUAUCUCUAGGUGGAGUGAA